rnacentral:rRNA from 1 species
AACGAACGCUGGCGGCAUGCCCAACACAUGCAAGUCGAACGAGACCUUCGGGUCUGGUGGCUCACGGGUGCGUAACGCGUGGGAAUCUGCCCUUGGGUUCGGAAUAACAGUUUGAAACGACUGCUAAUACCGGAAGAUUACGGAAGUCCAAAGAUUUAUCGCCCGAGUAUGAGCCCGAGUAGGCUUAGCUAGUUGGUGAGGUAAAGGCGCACCAAGGCGACGAUCCUUAGCGGGUCUGAGAGGAUGAUCAGCCACACUGGGACUGAGACACGGCCCAGACUAUUACGGGAGGAGGCAGUGGGGAAUAUUGGACAAUGGGCGAAAGCCUGAUCCAGCAAUGCCGCGUGAGUCCUGAAGGUCUUAGGGUUGUACAGCUCUUUUAUCCGCGAUGAUACUGACAGUACCGGGAGAAUAAGCUCCGGCUAACUCCGUG